UGGCUAUCUGGUCGAUCCGCAAACCUCUGAUACCGUGAUGUCAGUUCUGCGGUCUUCGGCGUCUUUGCGGUCGGUCGCGAAUGUGGUGAACGUCGAAGCGACGUCUUAUGACGUGCUGGUUGAUCACACCGAAAUGGGGGCCGGCUGGUCGGAUGAGGUGACCGCUUCUGCGGAAACUUCAAGCCCGCAGUUUGACCGGAUUUCGAUUGGUCUGCAUGAACUUUCGGCGCUGCCGAAAGCAUCACAACGUCUGCUGGAUGACGCGGCAUUUGAUAUUGAAAGCUGGCUUGCCGGCCGCAUUGCCGAGAAGUUUUCACGCGCGGAAGCAGCGGCGUUUAUCAAUGGCGACGGCGUGGACAAGCCGAAAGGGUUCCUGGCGCAUACAAUCGUUGAUGAUGCGUCCUGGACCUGGGGCAACCUUGGCUAUGUCGCCACCGGUGCGGACGGUGAUUUUGACGCCGCCACCCCGGCGACGUCCAUCGUGGACCUCGUAUAUGCGCUUGGGGCGGAAUACCGCGCGAAUGCGUCCUUUGUGAUGAAUUCAAAGACCGCGGGCGCCGUGCGCAAGAUGAAAGACGCGGACGGCCGUUCCUGUGGUCUGACGGUCUUGCGGCCGGUGAGCCGGCGCGCCUGAUGGGCUAUCCGGCGCUGAUCGCCGAGGACAUGCCGGAUAUUGCGUCUGACACUCAUGCGAUUGCCUUUGGUGACUUUGGUGCCGGCUACACGGUUGCCGAACGUCCGGAUCUGCGGGUGUUGCGUGAUCCGUUCUCUGCCAAGCCGCAUGUGCUGUUCUA
rnacentral:rRNA from 1 species